rnacentral:rRNA from 1 species
UUGAGGGAAAGAGCCCAGACCAACAAAUAAGGUCCCUAAAUUAAGCUAAGUGGAAAAGGAAGUCAAAAUUCAUAAACAACUAGGAUGUUGGCUUAGAAGCAGCCAUCAUUUAAAGAGUGCGUAAUAGCUCACUAGUCUAGUUUUUUGGCGCCGCAAGUACAACGGGGCUAAGCUUAAUACCGAAUUUUUGGAUUUAAGAUUUAAUAAUUUUAAGUGGUAGACAAAUGUUGUAUAAGGGUUGAAGUUUGAACGAGAGUAUAAAUGGACUUUAUACAAGUAAGAAUUCCGGCGUAAGUAACGAAUGAAAGUGAGAAUCUUUCUAGCCGAUUGAUCAAGGUUUCCGGGGCUAGGUUCGUCCUCCUCGGGUUAGUCGAUCCUAAGGUGAGGCCGAAAGGCGUAGCCGAUGGACAACAGGUUAAUAUUCCUGUACUACCUUAGAUUGUCAACGGGCGGACAAAAGAGGUUAAAGUAAAAGGAUUAUUGGAUUUCCUUCUAAGUUUCGAAGCANGUCGAGGCUGAAAAUCACCUCGACAUUAAUUGCAAGAAACGAAUGCUAUUUUUGGUAGGGAUAUCAGGAAGNAUUACUACCAAUCUCUUUUCGCGAAAAAACUCUAGACUUAAAUCUAAGGUAUUCGUACCGAAACCGAACACACGUGAUCAAGGAGAAUAUCCUAAGGCUAGCGAGCUAANUACAGUUAAGGAACUCUGCAAAUUAACUCUGUAACUUAGGGAGAAAGAGUGCCCCAGAAGGAAUCUGGGGCCACAGUAAAGAACGAGGGCGAACUGUUUAACAAAAACACAGCUAUAUGCAAAAUUCGAAUAUGAAGUAUAUGUGGCGACACCUGCCCGGUGCCAGAAGGUCAAAGAAGGUUGUUAGGCUAGCUUCGGCUAGCCAAAGCUUCUAACUUAAGCCCUGGUGAACGGCGGCCGUAACUAUAACGGUCCUAAGGUAGCGAAAUUCCUUGUCAGGUAAAUUCUG